CCUGGCGGCACUAGCGCGGUGGUCCCACCUGACCCCAUGCCGAACUCAGAAGUGAAACGCCGUAGCGCCGAUGGUAGUAUGGGGUCUCCCCAUGUGAGAGUAGGGAACUGCCAGGC
rnacentral:rRNA from 1 species